GAGAGGCUAUGUCUACACUCAGUGUUUUGACCUGUGAACAUCUGAAUGAUUAGUAGCCUAAC
ensembl:snoRNA